ensembl:snRNA U1 U1 spliceosomal RNA
UAAAUUACCUGGCAGGGGGAUACCAUGAUCACAGAGUUGGUUUUCUUGGGAUAAAGCAUAUCCAUUGCACUCCAGAUGUGCUGGCCACUGUGAUUUCCUCAAAUUUAGUAGCAGGGGACUCUGUUUGCACUCUCCCCUC